UACGUAGGGUGCAAGCGUUAAUCGGAAUUACUGGGCGUAAAGCGUGCGCAGGCGGUUGUGCAAGACCGAUGUGAAAUCCCCGGGCUCAACCUGGGAAUGGCAUUGGUGACUGCACGGCUAGAGUGUGUCAGAGGGGGGUAGAAUUCCACGUGUAGCAGUGAAAUGCGUAGAGAUGUGGAGGAAUACCGAUGGCGAAGGCAGCCCCCUGGGAUAACACUGACGCUGAGGAGCGAAAGCCAGGGGAGCAAACGGG
rnacentral:rRNA from 1 species